GUGGGGAAUCUUAGACAAUGGGGGAAACCCUGAUCUAGCCAUGCCGCGUGAGCGAUGAAGGCCUUAGGGUUGUAAAGCUCUUUCAGCUGGGAAGAUAAUGACGGUACCAGCAGAAGAAGCCCCGGCUAACUCCGUGCCAGCAGCCGCGGUAAUACGGAGGGGGCUAGCGUUGUUCGGAAUUACUGGGCGUAAAGCGCACGAAGGCGGAUCAGAAAGUCAGAGGUGAAAUCCCAGGGCUCAACCUUGGAACUGCCUUUGAAACUCCUGGGCUUGAGGUCGAGAGAGGUGAGUGGAAUUCCGAGUGUAGAGGUGAAAUUCGUAGAUAUUCGGAGGAACACCAGUGGCGAAGGCGGCUCACUGGCUCGAUACUGACGCUGAGGUGCGAAAGCGUGGGGAGCAAACAGGAUUAGAUACCCGUGUAGUCC
rnacentral:rRNA from 1 species